CAUUUGAUUUUUUAUUUUAAGUGAAGUUGGAAAAGUCAGUGUUACUUUGUGUUUGGCUUUCCUCAUCCAAAUCCUAUUAUAAAGUGGAAUGUGAAUUCAUUUCGUUAUUUGAUUUAAUGUGCCUCUCUUAACAAUCAGCAUUGAUAACCUUUUCUUUUGAAAUUAUCCCCAAGGACUAAAUUUAUCCCCUGUAAAAACUAUUUGAUCUAACAAAGGUAAUUUUAUAGAUAUAAGAUUACUACCUACCAAAAAUAAUAAUAAAAAGCGUACUGGAACAUCCUUUCACACUGUUUUCUUGUUAUUCUGAUAACUGAUUAUGGUAUAACUGACCUGAGUGUGCAGUUGUACCAUUUUGAGCCACAUAAAAUCAUAAAUCAUAAAUCUUAUGAUGUUACCUCACUGUAACAUAAUAAAUUAACUAAAUUCCCCAUUCCAUGUAUAUUUUUAGUUAUAAAUAACUUAUCUCCAAGCAAUAAAUUAAGCUGAAACAUAAAAUAAUUUUCCACCAAUAAGGACUAUAAUUUACACAUUAUCUACUUAUAUACAUUAUAUAAAAUUAUCACAAAAGAAAAUCCUUUUGAUAAUUUAAUGUUUGUUGUUUCCUUUUAGAAUUUGUGAAUAUGAAAAACUGACAAUCAAUUUUAUUAACUGAUAGCUGAAGAAAGUCAUGAUUGAAAAAUACCCUGAAAGUGAUAUUCACUGUUUAAUGGUGCAAGAAUUGUGUUAUUCAAAAUUUCAAUGAUACAUUUACCUCAAGGAAAUAAUUCAUCAGAGAGAUGUUCCUUAGCAAUUAAAUAGCUUAA
rnacentral:lncRNA from 1 species